CUCCAGAGACAGGAGAGAGGACAUGGAAGUACACACUGCAGCAGCUUGUCCACUUUAAACCACUGAUGUAUCAUCUCAGGGACCAAUACCUCACAUUAAGUCCCAGAAAGGUGUAAAGGGGCAGUGAUGAGGCCCUGGAGACGCAGAAACAAGAUGGCGGCCCCGGUGCAGGUGUGCUGUGUGGACACUCUCCCUCCUCACCUGAGUCCUCUGGACGCUUUAAUGUUCGAGUCUCACCUGGACGCACUUUUCCACAGUGGCACGGAGCCGCCCACCGUCCUGUUCAGCCCGCAGCGGCCUCAGGGCUGCGGGAGGUCCGGCAUUUUACUGCGCGUCCACCCGCUCACCGAGCAGGAGACCGCGGGAUGCGGAGACAGAAACUUCCCCGGAGCCGAGUCCCGAAGCCGCGUCCGGCUGUUCGUCAGCCGCUUCUUCCUGCGGCACCACGGGCUCCAGCGGCUCGGCAGCUCCGGGACUGUGCGGGCUCUGGAGCCGGUCAGCCUGGACAGAGUGGUGCUGGGAGCCCGCAGCAGGCAGAGCCUCCGCUGGGCCGGAGGGGAGCACUUCACCGCCGGGCUGCUGGAGCUCUGCCGCCCGGGACAGUGGCUGCUGGCCCGGCAGGGAGACCCGCUGCUGCUGCCCCGACCCCCGCUGCUGGAGCCCCGAGCCCCGCUGCUGGAGACCCGACCCCCGCUGCUGGAGCCCCGACCCCCGCUGCUGGAGCCCCGACCCCCGCUGCUGGAGACCCGAGCCCCGCUGCUGGAGACCCCCGGAGAGGAGCCGGGACAGGUGCAGCAGCAGCUCUCGGACCUGAUGGUGUUGGCCUGCAGUCCUGUAUCACAGGGCCGGAUCACAGCCGACACGUCCCUGGUUCUGACCGACUGCUGGGACUCGGUGGAUCCCCCGGGGGCCCCCCCACCCUGCAGACCGCUCAGUCUGAGCUUUUCAGAUUUUGCUCAUUAUGCCGACAGCCUCGGAGGGGGACGCUCUCUUCUCGACAGCAGGAAGCUGCUUGGCUCGGAGUUCUCCGACAUCCUGCGGGCGCUUGAGUGCAGGGUGGACGUCCUGGUGGUGGACGUUUCACGGUGGACCGGUGUCCCCUUCGGUCAGCAGGGGGCAGUGGUGGAUACGGACAACUGCGUGUUUGUGAGCAAACAGCUGCUGCUCAGGCUCGGGCUGUUUAACCACGAGUGGGUGGAGCUGUCGAAGGCGGGAGCAUCCUCGCGACCUCAGACGGGUCAGAUGGACGUCAGGGGAGGAAUCGGCAGAGAGCGGCUGGUAUCUGUGGUGGUGGUGGAUUUAACUGAGAGUCCAGAUCUGCAGAACCUUGAUGAAGUUGGUUUCAUAUCAGCGAGUCUGUGGUUCAACUUGACCGAAGGGGAAGUGAUUCCUGUGAACAGCCUCACGCUGAGGAUGAAGAGGUGGAGACCGUCUCCUCCGGAGGUCGGUGGUGGCUCUGACAGUUCCUGUCGCUCAGCUUCUCCUGCCUUCGCCACUGAGCUUCACAUCCAGCCGGUGGUGUCUCUGCUGUGCGACCACCUGGGCUGCUGCGACACCCUGCUGUCUGAACACUUCAGUUCUCCCAGACUGGUUUCACUCGGAGACGUCUUAUCAGUUCCCACUGAAAACCAUCCAGACCUGCUGGAGAACAACUGUGACGGCAUCCACAGGUCUCCUGUGCUGUUCUUCAAAGUGCAGAAGGUGUGUCCGUCUGCAGAGAGAGAAGAAGAAGGAGGAGGAGGAGGAGCUCUCCUGGCCGACAGACUGCACACCUCCCUCUACAUGGGAGCGUCCACUAACAGCCCCGUCCCCUGCAGCUCGGUGGAGCGAGGGUCUCUGUGGAGCAGUCUGUCUCCUCCGGGCCUCGACAAGACCGUCGACCUCCUCAGCAGCAUCAUCCUGCCCCACCUGCAGCACAGCAGCUGUCUGUCCGGUUGCACCGUCCUCCUUCACGGUCCUGCAGGAAGUGGUAAGGUGACGGUGGUCAGCGCGGCGAGUCGCAGACUGAACCUCCACCUGCUGAAGGUGGACUGUGUGAGCGUGUGCGCUGACACACCUGCAGCCGCUGAAGUGAAGCUGACGUCGUUGUUUCAGCGAGCCGCCGCCCUGCAGCCCUGCAUCCUUCUGCUCAGGAACCUGCAGCUCCUGCUCCGACCCAGGGGGGAGGAGGACGCCAGGGUCCAGGCAGCGCUCCGCUAUCUGCUCAGCAGCGCCCCCAUCAGUGUGGUGGUGGUGGCGACCGUCUGCAGACCUCGGGAUCUUUCUGCGGGUGUUGUGACAGCGUUCGUCCACCAGGUGUCAUUAGAGAGCCCCAGUGAAGAGCAGCGGCGCUCUAUGUUGUUGAGCCUGAGCCGAGAGCUUCACCUGGGCAGAGACGUGAGUCUGGAGAGACUCUCCAAACUCACAGCGGGUUUUGUGUUGGGAGAUCUCCGAGUUCUGCUGGCGGAGGCCGGUCGAGCUGCCUGCAGGAGGCUGAGUCACACCUGUGGUGGUCGGCAGGAGGAGGACCUGUGCUCCAGCGGAGUGACCGUCCUGAACCAGGACUUCACCUGCGCCCUGGAGACGCUGCAGGACGCCCAGUCCAAGGCCAUCGGAGCCCCGAAGAUUCCUAACGUGCGGUGGGAGGAUGUCGGAGGUCUGCAGCAGGUGAAGAAAGAAAUCCUGGACACGAUUCAGCUCCCUCUGCAGCGUCCGGAGCUCCUGUCUCUGGGUCUGAGCCGGACCGGGGUCCUGCUGUACGGACCCCCGGGAACAGGAAAAACCCUGCUGGCCAAAGCCGUGGCCACCGAGUGCUCCAUGACCUUCCUCAGUGUCAAAGGUCCAGAGCUCAUCAACAUGUACGUGGGUCAGAGCGAAGAGAACAUCAGAGAAGUGUUCAGCAGAGCGCGCUCAGCAGCUCCGUGCGUCGUCUUCUUCGAUGAGCUGGACUCUCUGGCUCCCAGCAGGGGGCGCAGUGGAGACUCUGGAGGAGUGAUGGACAGAGUCGUGUCUCAGCUGCUGGCCGAGCUCGACGCGCUGCCCUCGACUGCCGGGGUGUUUGUGAUCGGAGCCACCAACCGUCCAGAUCUGCUCGACCAAUCACUGCAGAGACCUGGCAGGUUUGAUAAGUUGGUCUACGUUGGAAUCAACGAGGAUCGAGUCUCUCAGCUUCAAGUUCUUCAGGCCAUCCUCAGAAAGUUCCAGCUGGACCCCGCGGUGAACCUGGAGGAGGUGGUGGAGAGUUGUCCCGCCCACAUGACCGGCGCUGACCUUUACGCUCUGUGUUCAGACGCCAUGACGGCCGCCAUCAAGAGGAAGAUCUCUCUGAUCGACGAAGGUGUGGACUCGGAGGACUCGCCUGUCGUUCUCUCCGCUGACGACUUCUCUGCGUCGUUAGAAAACUUCAAACCAUCGGUUUCCGAACAGGAGCUGCUCCGAUACGCAAACAUCCAACAGAAACUCACUGUGACGUAGAAUCACAGGAAAAUAAAAACUGUCGGACGACAACGUUCACGCAUCGACAAGAUGCUACUGCUGAGAAGAUCGUCUCUGGGGAGGACUCAGGUGAAGUGGGGCAUUCGACUGCAGGUUCUGGAGGAAACAACCAAGGUCAUCAGAGUUCUUCUGGACAAAGAAAAUCCAGACAAACAUGAAGGUAAUUAAACAAGUCGAGUAAUUAUAAAACAACCACAAUGUGAACACAACAGCCCUUAAAAACCACCAGAUUCCUUCCUCAACAACACGGUUGAAUGUAGCCAGGUUUGUUUAGAAAGGUUCAGUGUGUUUGAUUUAGUGACAUCUAGUGGAGACUCUGAAUAAUACAACCACCUGAACACCUCACGGCUUGUGUGUGGCAGGAAACUGUACAAACUGUACAAACUGUACAAACGGACUCCGUGGAUAUAAAGGGAGAAAUACUUCAGCAAUAAAGAGUUUAUUUAUAAAUAAUAAUAAUCUCAGUUUCAGAGGAUACGAAUGAAAACGUUAAGAUUUGUUUUCACUUCCGAUAGAAGCUCCUGAAUCCUUCACACUGAACCGCUUAAAGAAACAAGUUUAGAUUUAACGUUCUGGAAAGAUGCUGGUUUUUGUUUUACAACCGUCACGGUGACGUCACCCGUUGGUUUGUGAGCCGAAGCCAAGGUUUCACAUCGUGUUCGGCGCCAUCUUGGUUUGUUGAAACCAGAAGUAACCAUAUUUGGAGGAGCAGGGGGUGGAGCCUGACCGAGAGCUGGCGGACACGCCCACCCACACCUGCCACCUGCAUCCAUUGGACGGCAACAGCUGUCAAUCACACUGUGGUAUCCACCCCCCCGAUACAUCAGG